ACAUGGAGCUGGAAGACCUGAGAAGGAGGAGCAGGUUCUAUGCUGGACUGCUCAUAUUUAGAAGACAUUUUCGUAUUCUAGCCCUUGUUUUGUGCGCAUUUUAUUCCUCACUACUCUAUAUAUAGUGGACAAUGCUACACUUUUUUGAAACGUCUGUUCUUUUUAGAUGUUCUGAAGUGCCUGAUGUUAAAAUUAGAGGUAGGAAAAUCACAUUUCGUAGAUAUCUUUUUGUUACAACUUGUAGGAAAUGUUUUUUGGGGGGAAUGGCCAAAUCACCUGUUGAGUAAUACUCACCGUGUGUGCAGUGGUUCAGGGGAGGAGGAGGAAAGGGGAGGUGCAGACAGUUCUAUGCCACCCUGCUUACAGCAAGGCAAGAUGAAUUAUUAUCUCUGUGCAUAUAGUGUACAUAAAGGACAAACGAGGCCUAACUUUAACAACAUCUAGUCUCUUUAGAUGUUAAAGAGGUUGCCAGUGUAUGACAGAAGUAGAGUUAGUAACCUAAUGUUCUGUACAUUUUGUUUACAAGUCUAGGAAAGAUUGUCUUCUGAAAAUUUGAGCAUUCUUGCCCACUGGGUUGAUGGAGAUGGGAAGGGUUCUAGGCCAGAAUGUUCACAUUCGGAAGGCUCUUUCAAAUGAUAACUGUUGUUACAUGUUUGCAGUUUAUUCAAGACUGCUGUGUAUAUAGUGGACAAAUUACCUCCUUUCUUGAAACAUCUAGUCUAUCUAGGUGUUUAGAAGUGCCGGAUGUAUGUUAAAUGUUGAGGUAGUAAAAUACCACUUUGUAAAUAUCUUUUUGCUAAAAUUCACAGGAAAUACUUUUGGAAAUUGAAUUGUGAAGCCACCUUUGUCAGCAGUAUAGUACUGUCUAUACUUGUUCAAUGGUUUAGAGGAGGUGAGAGGGAAGAAAUUGGAAAAGAUAAUAUUCUAGUGUGUUCACACUUGGACAAUUCAGACACUAUUUUUCUGUGGGUUUUGUGCAUUUUCUUUUGCUCUGUAUAUAGUGUAUAUAAUGGACAAUGAGUCCUAAUUUUUCAACAUUUAGUCUCUAGAUGUUAAAGAGGUUGACAGUGUUUGACAAACUAUUUAGUAAAAUCAGCAUAUUUUGUACUCUUUGUGAUAAAAUUCAUAGGAAAACUCGUCUUCUGUAAAUGACUUUUGCACUAGAAUUUGUUCAAUCACCUCUAAGCAUUACGCAUGCCUGUUACUUGUCCACUGGAUUGAAGGCAGAGAAGAAAGAGAGGAGGGAAUGAUUCAAGGCCAAAAUGGUCACAUUUAGAAGAUACCUCAGAUGAUAACCAUUGUUAUGUGUGUGCAAUUUUAGUUAACAGUGCUGUGUACGUGUGGACAAGUUACAUGAAAUAUCUAGUCUUUCUAGAUAUUUGGAAGUGCUUGGUGUAUUUAAAAGUAGUAGUAGAAUAACACUUUUUGUAAAUAGCUUUUAAAACGUGUUGGGAAAUGCUGUUGGGAAGAGGAAUUGUGGAACCACCUGGGAGGUGGGAGGGAAGAAAUUGCAAAAGGUGUUUUGCCAUUGUUGAUUAGAAAAUUUCAGCUGCUUUCCAAGAUGGCGCGCACGCUGAAGGCGGAGGCCACGAAUUCUGGCUUUUUUCCAGACUCCAUGCUCCAGUUCGAACAGUAAGAGCUUUUUCCACGUCACAGCCCUUGGAUCAAGUGGCAGGUCCUGUGUGGAACCUGGGUCAAUUCAAUCAUGUAGCCAUAGCAGUGCCAGAUUUGGAAAAGGCCGCAGCAUUUUAUAAGAAUAUUUUGGGGGCCCAGGUAAGUGAAGCAGUUUCUCUUCCUGAACGUGGAAUAUCUGUUGUUUUUGUCAAUCUGGGAAAUACCAAGAUGGAACUGCUUCAUCCAUUGCGAAGUGAGAGUCCAAAUGCAGGUUUUCUGCAGAAAAACAAGGCUGGAGGAAUACAUCGCAUCUGCAUCGAGGUGGAUAACAUAAAUGCAGCUGUGAUGGAUUUGAAAAAAAACAAGAUCCGUAGUCUACGUGAAGAGGUCAAAAUAGGAGCACAUGGAAAACCAGUGAUUUUUCUCCAUCCUAAAGACUGUGGUGGAGUCCUUGUGGAACUGGAGCAAGCUUGAGUUAUAUUUGUAAGAAACAAAAUGUACCGACCUGAAAAAGCCUUUUCAAAUACUAUUGAAAUGUACUAUGACAAAUAUUAUUUGUUAAUUUGAAUUUGAAGAAAACCUUCAUUACAAAUUAGUUAGGGAAUAUUAUUAAAAUCAUAUAGAAAUAAAUUAUUCCUUUUUUACAAUAAAAAAAAGAAAGAAAAUUUCAGGUUAAUCCAUUGCUUAUGUGUUACAUGCAUUUCAUUGAACUUUGCUAUACUGUAUAUAUUAUGUAUAUACUGGACAAAUGAGUCCCAAUUUUAUAAUAUCUAGUCUCUAGGUAUUAAAGAGAUUGCCACUAUAUGAUAGCAGUAGAGUUAGUAAACUAACACAUCCUGUACACUUUGUUAAAAUUCAUAGAAAGGCUGUCUUCUGAGAAAGACUUCUGGAAGUGAAGUAACAUCAGCUCUAAGUGACACAUGUGCCUGUAUCCACCAGGUUGUUGGUGGUGAAGAGUUGGAAGGAAUGAGGAGUUGUAGACCAGAAUGUUCCUAUUUAGAAGACAUUUUCAGAUAUAACCAUUGUUACAUGUGUGUAGUUUAUUCAACACUACUGUGUGUAUAGUGGACAAACUUAAGUCCUAAUUUGAAACAUCUAGUCUUUCUAGGUGGUUGGAAGUGCACAAAGUAUGUUAAAAGUAGAGGUAGUAAAUAACAAACACAUUUUGUAGCUAUCCUUUUGAUAGAUCAUCUUUUGGAAAUUGAUUGAUUCUCUGAGCAGUACAUUAUGAUAUUUGUAAAGGUUCAGGGAGAAGGAGGAGUGUAAAGGGCUUUCCACCAGUGUGUUUAUGAUGAGGCACAUUGAUCAUUAUCCCUUAUGUCUGCAUUUUCAUUAACUGUGCUGUGUAUAUAAGUGGACAUAAGAGCUCUAAUUUACAUCUAGUCGAUGUUAAAGAAGUAUGACAGAAGUAGAGUUAGUAAAUUCAAUACAUUGAGUAUAUCUUGUGUAUGAUUUUUAGAUCAUAAGGAAGACUUGCAAAAAACAGAAGUGAAAUUGUUAAAAUACCCCAUAAGCUGUCCAUGGGGUUGGCAGAGGUCGGGAAGGGAAGUAGGUUCUAGGUCAGAAUGUUCCUUUUUAGAAGACACUCAAAUUACAGUCUGUGUUAUGUAUAUACACCAUUUAUUCAAUGCUACUCUGUAUAUAAUGGAAAACUUAAGUCCAGUUGGUAAUAUCUAGUCUUUCUAGGUGUUUAAAAGUGCACAGCAUAGGUUAAAAGAAGAGGGCUAAAGUAACACCCCUCUAAGCAUUUGUUUUCAUUAUUUCCUUAGGAGUGGUUGGCUGCAUUUGGGAAUGGAAUUGUUAAAAUUUGAUGCUUAGGAGCCUAUGCUGACUAUUUAUUGGGUGGUGAUGGGUUGGGGAGGAGGAGGUAUGCAGGGAGAAGGGUUCUGUGCCCCUGAGAUUAGUUCAGCUGGUCUAACCAUUGUUCUAUAUGUGCAUUCUAGUUGAUAUUAUGUAUUAAAGGAUAAACAAGUCAAUGCUCAGAGUAUGUUCAAAAUAGAUAGAGUAAAGCAGACCCUUUAUGAAUGUCCUUUUGUUAGUUUUUAAGAAGGCCUGUCUUCUGGGAGUGACCUUUACCUCUUGGAGCCAGACAUCCUAUACUUAAGUCACUGGGGAUGGUGGAAGAGGAAGAAGACAGGGUGAAGGGAAGGGCUCUUUGCUAGUAUCUCCAUAUUUAAAAGAUGGUUUUAGAUGAUAACCACAGGUCUGUAUAAGUGUUUUUAGUAAAGUGCCUGUGUUUAUUGUGGACAAAGUUCAUUAUUUUGCAACAUCUAAGCUUUAUGAAUGUCUGGGGUGACAACAUAGAGCUAGUGAAUUAGCCAAUUUGUAAAUACCUUUGUUGUAAUUGAUAGAAAAGAUGCAUCUUGGACAUGGACUUGUUAAACCACCUCUGAGCAGUGUAUGUCAGGACUUGUUCAUUAGUUGGCAGCAGAGGGGCAGAAGGAACUAUAAAGGGAGAGAUGUAUGCAGAUGUGUCCAUAUUUACAUUUUGAAGAUAGCCAUUAAUGUAUGCAUCUCUUGUGGCUGUACUAUAGAAAUAUAUUAAAUAAUUCAAUGGAAAUAUCCUUGCUAAUAUUUUAAUGAUAUAGAUCUGCUAAUGAGCUCUCUUAGAAGCAUUAUAGUUAGUGUAUUCUGUUGCUAUAUGCUUCAUUUUAAAUUGAGCAUUAAGGGAAUGCAGUAUUUAAAUCAGAACUCUGCCAAUGCUUUUAUCUAGAGGCGUGUUGCCAUUUUUGUCUUCUGUGAAACUUUUGUCCCAAGAAAGACAGGAUUACUUUUUUUUUUUUAACAGACUGAGUUGGUGUAGUGUAUUGUUGGUUAUCAAAAUGCUCAUAUAGCUUUGGGAUUUUGAAUCGAUAAAUAUUCAUGAAGUGUGAAAAAUCAUGGUACAUACCAUACAAUCUCAGUCCCAUAAAAUUGGAUGUUGUGCCUGCAGAUGCACAGGGCCUAGAACAAUGUGUCCAACUGUAAACUGCUUGUGAUUGUGACUGUUCUUUGCUUCUUGUAUUUUUCAGUUUCGUCUAAUGUACUUAACUUUUUAAAAGUCAAGAUUAUUUUAAAAACAAAACAAAAAAAGGGGAGUUCUGUGGUCAUACAGGGGUUGGGAAAUGCAUGUUUGCACUCUGCUGUGUUAAAAGCUCUGAAAAUUCAUGCAGUAAAGAAACAUGUUAGCUGAGUGUGGUAGCAUGUGCCUGUAAUCCCAGCUACUUGGGAGACUGAGGCAGGAGAAUUGCUUGAACCCAGGAGGCGGAAGUUUGAAUGAGCUGGGAUCCAGCCUGGGUGACAGAGCAAGACCCCAUCUCAAAAAAAAAAAAGGAAAUGAAAAAGAAACAUGUUUGACUUUACCUCAGCAUUUUCCAAACUUAUCUGAUUAAGAAAAUAUAUUUUUAUAUUAUGUGUAUAGCAGGUAUAACA